GUUUGUUGGGGUGUAGAACUUGGUCCCUCACGCCUUUUCACACUUCCGUUUUUUCGUAUAUCUGCGUCACACCCGUAAAAUCAUAUUCUCUCACUCACGUCACCAUCGCUGGCUGGGGGCCCCUGAUUCCCCCGUCUUUGGGCUUUUCCGGCGCUUUAUCAAAGAGCGUGGCAGUCCAGUGUCCCUUGAUGGCUUCCACCAAGCUUUAUAUUUUUUUUUUCCAGGACUGCGUGCGUACUCGGGAGGUCUCAGGAAGAGCGUUAAUUAGAUAAGCACACACAAUUAUUUCUACAAAGUGCUCUAUGCUGCUUUCCCCUGGUGGUAGACAUCAUGAAAGCUGAGCAGAGGUCAAAGGCUUGUGAUCGAGUGGGCCACUCGGGAUCAACUCAUCACUUGCAACAUUUCUGGGCCUGUUGAUCCUAAGUAGGUCCAUAACAUGCAAAGUAUAAUUCUCUGCAGUCCUCUCACAAAGCCUCCUGGGCAUCUCAGGUCAGAAAGAAAGCACAGAAGUGUGCCGAGUCUUCUUUGGGCUUGUGAUGUGUGCUCGAAAAUGAUCAAAUAUGCCUCAGUGUCAUCUUCGGGACAUAAUGGUACAGACACCUGGGACGGUCUGAGGGCCCUGUGCUGUCUGCAAAAGCUGGGUUGCUGGGCUGCCACUUUACUUGCAACUGAAUAAGCGUUGCAAGGUCAGUCAGUUCCAUUAUGUUCUAUAGAAAUCCCACCGACUAUGCCACUGUAAUAUAAGAGAACAGGACAAGGUAAAGAAUCGGGGCACCCAAUGGUGAAUCCUGUUUAACUGCAAGGUCAGUCAGUUCCAUUAUGUUCUAUAGAAAUCCCACCGACUAUGCCACUGUAAUAUAAGAGAACAGGACAAGGUAAAGAAUCGGGGCACCCAAUGGUGAAUCCUGUUUAACUGCAAGGUCAGUCAGUUCCAUUAUGUUCUAUAGAAAUCCCACCGACUAUGCCACUGUAAUAUAAGAGAACAGGACAAGGUAAAGAAUCGGGGCACCCAAUGGUGAAUCCUGUUUAACUGCAAGGUCAGUCAGUUCCAUUAUGUUCCACAGAAAUCCCGCCGAC